rnacentral:piRNA from 1 species
UACAAAUGUGAACAGUGCUUCUAAUAAAGUU